AGCGUAGGCGGUUAUUUAAGUGGGGUGUGAAAUCCCUGGGCUUAACCCAGGAAUUGCAUUCCAUACUGGGUGACUAGAGUGCAGGAGAGGAAAGUGGAAUUCCAAGUGUAGCGGUGAAAUGCGUAGAGAUUUGGAGGAACACCAGUGGCGAAGGCGACUUUCUGGACUGUAACUGACGCUGAUGCUCGAGAGCGUGGGGAGCAAACAGGAUUAGAUACCCUGGUAGUCCACGCUGUAAACGAUGAAUACUAGGUGUUGGGGGCGAAGCCCUCAGUGCCGGAGUUAACACAUUAAGUAUUCCGCCUGGGGAGUACGAUCGCAAGAUUAAA
rnacentral:rRNA from 1 species